GGCCCUGUAGCUCAGCGGAAGAGCGCUCGUUUCCGAUGCGAGAAGUCCCAGGUUCGAACCCUGGCUGGGUCG
rnacentral:tRNA from 1 species